rnacentral:rRNA from 1 species
AAUGAACGCUGGCGGCGUGCUUAACACAUGCAAGUCGCACGAGAACGCUUCAGCUUGCUGAGGCUAGUAAGUGGCGCACGGGUGAGUAACGCGUGGGUAAUCUACCUCUAAAUUGGGGAUAACACUGCGAAAGACGGUGCUAAUACCGAAUAACAUUCCUUGAUCCACGGUUCGGGGAAGUCAAGGUAGGCCUCUACAUGUAAGCUACCGUUUGGUAGAUGAGCCCGCGUACCAUUAGCUUGUUGGUGGGGUAACGGCCCACCAAGGCGACGAUGGUUAGCUGGUCUGAGAGGAUGAUCAGCCACACUGGAACUGACACACGGUCCAGACUCCUACGGGAGGCAG